GAUGAAGAACGUAGCGAAGUGCGAUAAGUAGUGUGAAUUGCAGAAUUCCGUGAAUCAUCGAAUUUUUGAACGCAAAUUGCACUCUCUGGUAUUCCGGAGAGUAUGCCUGUUUGAGGGUCGAUAAAAUCAAAAUCGAUGUGUUGCUUUCUGACAUGUCGGAAUUGGGUUAUCUUUAACCUUUUUGGUUAAAGCAGCCUAAAAUUUUUAAUUAUACCUUCAGUAUACAAUUACGUACUUAGUAAUUUUUGUCGUAAUGUCUGAAGUUUUUUUUAUUAGACGUGACCAUCUAAUGGUCUCACGUCCAUAAUUUUUUUCAGUUAAUGACCUCAAAUCAGGUAAGAAUACCCGCUGAACUUAAGCAUAUCAAUAAGCGGAGG
rnacentral:misc_RNA from 1 species